rnacentral:rRNA from 1 species
AUUGAACGCUGGCGGCAGGCCUAACACAUGCAAGUCGAACGAGUGGCGGACGGGUGAGUAAUGUCUGGGGAACUGCCUGAUGGCGGGGGAUAACUACUGGAAACGGUAGCUAAUACCGCAUACCAUCAGAUGAACCCAUAUGGGAUUAGCUAGUAGGUAAGGUAACGGCUUACCUAGGCGACGAUCCCUAGCUGGUCUGAGAGGAUGAUCAGCAACACUGGAACUGAGACACGGCCCAGACUCCUACGGGAGGCAGCAGUGGGGAAUAUUGCACAAUGGGCGCAAGCCUGAUGCAGCCAUGCCGCGUGUAUGAAGAAGGCCUUCGGGUUGUAAAGUACUUUCAGUCGGGAGGCGUUACCGACAGAAGAAGCACCGGCUAACUCCGUGCCAGCAGCCGCGGUAAUAC